GGCGGUACGCGCAUGGUAUCAGGCCGCACUAUUUUACGGUGCGUCGAGGCCGUCGCAAGCGCGCGCCACGGUACUCGGAGGUUACGGACUUUGCGCCGUCCCCGGUCCUGGUCCGCUGUUGGUUAAAGUACGGUUCACCUUCGACAGGCYUGCGAACGUCUCUCCCCGGAGAGACCKAUACCGGUCGGCGACGCUACUGCUUUGGGUACUCUUAGGACCCGUCUUGAAACACGGACCAAGGAGUCUAACAUGUACGCGAGUCAUUGGGACUUGUCGCGAGACCUAAAGGCGUAAUGAAAGUGAAGGUCGGCCCUGGCCGUCGACCGAGGGAGGAUGGGCCGCGUCGCGAUGCGGCCUCGCACUCCCGGGGCGUCUCGUUCUCAUCGCGAGRAGAGGCGCACCCAGAGCGUACACGUUGGGA
rnacentral:rRNA from 1 species